rnacentral:snoRNA from 1 species
GCUGUUGCUGCUGCUGUUGCUGCUGCUGCUGCUGCUGCAGCAGCAGCAGCAGCAGCAGGAGAGAGUGUAUGUGUAUUUAGAAUGUAUAUUUUUGAAGGCCUAACACCUCAAGCAAU